rnacentral:lncRNA from 10 species
UGGACUUUGAGCUCAAUGCCAUGACUGAGGAAGACCACGGGGUUUUCUCUCUUAGAGGGGAGGUGAACCCAGAGCUUUGAGUUGAGAUGGGGGUGCCAUAAGAUUGAAGUACUCUGAAAAACAGAGCUUAAAGGCUUUUAACAGGGAAUCCUUGAUAUUCUUCAUUCCAAUUGUUCACCUCUACUGUAGGGCUCAGUAAACACUUAAGGAAGUUGCCGUGCACUGCAGCCUGCCGGAGACAUGAAGGAAUGUACGGGAGGAUAAUCGCAACAUCAUCAACCCAAUUCUCCAAGGUAAUUUGCCAUGGGACAGGCACACCCCAUGUGUUUGGGAAGACAAUGGGAAGGUUCUGUUUUCUGCUCCAAGACUGAUUCAACCAGUUGGAUCUGGAAGGGGAUAAAGGGCUGUGUGGCUGCUUGAUUUUCAUUGUCUAGUGGCAGCCAAAAUUGGAAAAGAGAGAAGUGCAGACUUUAAAGACAAGCAGCGACAGCUCAUCAGCAGUCUAACAACACGACAGAUGACAGGCCCAGAGGCACACCCAGGGCCGCCAGCCCAUCACCCUGUGCAGGAUGUCAAAGAGCAGCUGCAGCAAAGGAAGAAGAUCAUCCAGACUUAAAUGUUUGGGCCUUGCUAAGACCAUAGAGUCUUUGUGCUUUGGAAACAGUCCUCCAUACAAAGACCCCUUCCUAGAAAAGAGUGGAAAGAAACCAAGGUGGAAUGGAUACAACAGAAAGGAGACCAUGCUAAUAUUCUUGUGCAAUGCUUCCUGGGCAGAAAUUAUGUCAUAAAGGAUGUUCCAUUCUGCAAAGCUAUGUGUCUCUCUGUGGUUUGCCUCAGAGGAGGGGCCUUUCAUAGCUGUAGUGAGUAAGGGGGCCCUUGCUGAUGUUCAUCAGAUAUGCCAAGGCACAGGAAGAAAGCAUUGAGGUCACAGGGCAGCUCAGGUCCGCCUGUGGUAAUUGAAAACAGGUGACGAGAUUGGGUUGAUUUUAUUUUGGAAAAGUAAAUUAGUGCUGCACCACUCGGACAUGGCUAAUUCAUGAAGCCUCUGGUUUGUAUUAGACACCCAACAUGCCUUUCAGAAAGAAAUGACACAACAAUUAAUGUGUCAAAUAAUAAUGUGCCACUCGGAGAAAGAUAAUUGUACCCAUCGUCAGGUAGUUAUUAGGUCGAACGAAUGCUCAUCCUUUCAAAGGCAACAGCGUCUAUUCAUUCUGGCAUCCUACUGUAAGUACAGUAUUGUGUUCAUAAUCACACAGACUGAAGCCAGGAACACUGGGUUUUAUCUGAUUUUUCUCCAUUUGGAAUUGUACUCCGAUGAUUCCCUAAACAGCAAACUCAGUCAUGUGAAACACAAAUGAGUGUGAUGAAAGACAGAUUGUUAUACUGCAGGAGAGGCUUUCUGUGCUUUUCACAUAAUAUAGAGCAUGAGGACUGUUCCCAAGAAGGUUUAAGCAUAUGUAACAAAAACUACCAGACCUGAAUUUGCUCAUGUGUAAAUGAUAGUCUUUCCUUCUGGUGAUUUAAUGCAUGAGGACAUCAAUCAGUCACAUCAUGGCCUCAGAAGUCCUUGUUCAAUUUCUGAUGCCAUAACUUACUCGAUGUGGGAUUUGGACAAGUCAUUUAACUUCACUGCAAUUCUGUUUCCCUCAUUUGAAAAAUAGAAAUAGAAAAGCCUGCUGUAUAUUUAGGUCCACAUCUGUUGGGGAGGUCAAAGAAGAAAGAAUAUGAAAAGUUGUUUGUAAAUAUAAAGAACCAUGUAAAUAUAAGACAUUGUUUUAUUAAUGCUCCAGAUCAAUUAACUUUCAGUGAAUGAUAAAAUGUGACAUCUUUUCAACAGAGACAGUUUUACUUAAGAAAAACUAGGCAAUGGCUUCUGUCCUUACAAAUGAAAAACUUCAUAAUAAAUGGGGGCUCUCAAGACCACCUGGCCAAAACUGAACUAAAUACUCACUUCAUUCAACCAAGAAUGAGGAACUGAAAUACAUGAUUAUUAUAUAUGCAUAUGCUUCUGUUUCAUCUACUUGGGCAUGCUUGUGAUGAGAUAUGAAAAAUUAGCCAUCUUUAGAAGGAAAGAAAUAUUGUAUUUGGGGGUAUUUCUUCUGUACAGACAAUUGGCCUGGUUAUUGUCUAAAGGUAUUUAAAAUUAAUAAAAUGCAAUUUUAUGCUACAUAAAAUACUCAAAGCAACCAU